GGCUACGGGGGCAGCAGGCGCGAAAACUUUGCAAAUGGCGAAAGCACGACAAGGAUAAUCCGAGUGGUAGCUGCUAAAUGAACGGUUUGACAUGUCUAAGAUACUGUGAUACCUCCCU
rnacentral:rRNA from 1 species